UACAGAGGUCUCAAGCGUUGUUCGGAUUCAUUGGGCGUAAAGGGUGCGUAGGUGGCGCGGUAAGUCGGGUGUGAAAGCUCGGAGCUCAACUCCGAAAUGGCAUUGGAAACUACCUUGCUCGAGGGUUGGAGGGGGGACUGGAAUACUUGGUGUAGCAGUGAAAUGCGUAGAUAUCAAGUGGAACACCAGUGGCGAAGGCGAGUCCCUGGACAACUCCUGACACUGAGGCACGAAAGCUAGGGGAGCAAACAGG
rnacentral:rRNA from 1 species